UUACCCCUGCCGUGUUCGUGAUUGGCAUUUGUUCUUUGAUCCAACAAAGAAAAUAUAUGGGGCCUUCCUUGAUUUUGGUGUGCAUGUUCUGCAAGUACAGAAAAGCCUAAAAAAAUCAUAAGGCGCUAACUUUGAACGUUAGGUUCAGGGGCUUGCCGACACGGCACAGUGCGGGGGUUUU
rnacentral:other from 2 species